AGACCAGCAACACUCUCAGAGAGAGGACUUUGAGCUGUUAAACUUUAAAAUAUUCAGCGAGGGGAGUUCCCAUCAUGGCGCAGCAGAAACGCAUCCGACUAGGAACCUAAUUGCAGUUACGCUGUGACAUGAAAUGGACGUUCGAGGAGGAAGGUGGUCACACAACAGCCCCCCUGCCCCCCGCGCACAGGAAGGGACGUUUGGUGGCACCUGGCACGCACGGAGCUGAGGCAAAGGGGGCGAUGAGGGUGAGGGGCAGGUUUUGAUGGAGGGAAAUUUACCAGCUAGUCUGUAAGGGACGGAACCUUCUGGUGGGCCUGCCGCUGCGUCUGAGGAGAAAUUCCAUCGCCUGGAGGAGCACAGCCUGCCUCCCUGAGGGAUGCGGCGGGCACCGCUUUUCCCCCCCUUAGGAGGGAACAGCUUUGUUCCCAGCACUGUGGCUCCUUGUCAGGUGGAGACACAGCUAUUCUGGGCGCAAGGCUGGGAUUCAGACAGUGGAUGGUGCAUCUGGAUGCCAAGUGGCCAGAGGGCUGCAUGGUGCCCUUGGCUUUGCCCGAAGCUCCCCCCCCACCCCCGCCCUCUGCUCUGCAGAACNCCCUGGACUGACAUGGAGAGGCCGGAGCCUGUGCCAGGGCAGGGGGCUGCUCUUUCCUGCUGGCUCCACGUCUGCCACGGGUCUCCGAGGGUGGCCGGACAGCAGGUCUUCAAUCCAGGAGCUUCAGUGUCUCCUAGAAGCAGUGGCUGGAUUGAGCUUGAAAUUCCUGCGACAUGUGCAAAGCUGGCUGGUGUCCCCACUCGGGGGUCUGGGCUCCCGGCUGACAGGACCCCUGCCCUGCAGUCAGGGCAGCACCCAGCAGGGGUCCUUGGCAGACCCUGACUCUCCAGGGCCUUGCGGGCUGAAUGUCCUCCCCCGACUCAUGCUGAAGUCUAAACCCCCUGGGGCCUCAGAAUGUGACUUUAUUUAGAAACACGGCCAGCCUGACGCGGUCUGGGCAGGGAGCCUCGGCACUUGCAGGAAAGUUCCACAGAUCUGUGUCCCCACAGCCUUGAUGGAACCGAGGCCGGGAGCCAUGCUAGACACCUUUGCAUUCUCAUCCUUGCUCUGACUUGUCACAGACGACCUCUUUUCACCCAGAGUCUGCUUCUUUCCUUCUGCAAAAGGAAAAUGACUAGGUGCCAGCAUAUUCAGUGGAUGCUCAUUUGGUUGCACUUGAAAAUGUUCACUUACUGUAACGGGCUCGUUAUUGUGGGAAUGUAACUGGAACCUAGACUGCUACGACCUCAGGAAACAGGAACGACGCUGGGCACGAAGGUUCACUUUGCCCCACGGCAGCAGCCCCUCCCCCGGGGAAGGGGAAGGAAGCCCCUCCCCUCCUGUCCCCCCUCCACCCCCACCACACACACCGGUGGUGGCUGGGUCUUUGGGAACCUGAGAGGCUUCCAAUCAAAGGCCCUUAACGGGUCCCCGGAGAAACUAAAACCUAUCAACUCAAACACACAGAAAUGCACUGUCUGCCCUGCAGCGUUCUCCCCAGUCCCCUAAAAUCUGGAGGAGUCAAGAACUGACCAGGACAGGGCCCUGGGCUGCUGUGUGGGGGACACCCGGCCUCAUGAAGCCUGCGUGGGCUUGUCCACAACCAGGCGGUAAGGCUGUAAGCAUCUCGAAAGCUGGCGUUCCCGUCGUGGCUCAGCAGUUAGUGAACCCGACGAGCAUCCAUGAGGAUGCAGGUUUGAUCCCUGGCCUCGCUCCGCGGGUUGGGGAAUGGAGCAUUGCCGUGAGCUGUGGUGUAGGUGGCAGAUGCGGCUCGGAUCCCACGUUGCUGUGGCUGUGGUAUAGGCCAGCCACCUGGGAUUGGACCCCUAGCCUGGGAACCUCCAUAUGCCGCAGGUGUGGCCCUACAAAGACAAGAAGACACCCCCUCAAAAAAAAAAAAAAAAAGAUAAGAAAAGGCUGUAAGCCUCUGGAAAGGUGAAGAAGAAGGGGGGGGGUCAGUGCUCCGUGGAGGGACUGGCUGAGGUGAGGGCUCUGACGCUCUUUUGCCCGAUGUCUGUUAUGCUUUUUAAAAAGCUGAAUAAAAUGCAGGUCGGUGUUCAUGCAGCGCUCAGCGUGGCAGGCAGGGGCUGGGUUUGAUCUUAAAGAUUUGGACUGGACUCUGUUCAACACACGGGCCUAAAAUAAUUAGAAAUGCAAUUAGAAAUGUUAGCCCUUUCAGCGGGAGCAAGGCUUAGACUCAUCUGAGACCUAAUUUUCAAGCCGCAGCAGAGCUGUGUUCCAGAAACCUCAUGGGGGUUUGGUUUCCCUCUUUGGAGGAACGUUUUAUGGCCCUGUGCGACUUUAGAAGCAGCCCAUCGCCAUGCGGGGCACACGCGGGCCUAUGAGCCAUGUUUGAAAUUUCUAACUUCAGCCUCUGAACAAAGAAACUAUUCUGCUGGAUAAUAAGACAUAUUUACUGGGAAGAAAAUGGCAGGCUUAUUGUAAGUUUUACAACAUGUAAAAACGCGAUGGGAUUUUUUUUAGAUCCAAAAUAAUUUAUAGCGCUUAAUGUUUCUCAGUUGGCGCAAAAACACAGAGCCAAGGCCAACACUCCAAUCAAAAAAGUGGGCAAAGGAUAAGAACAGACAGUAAUGGUACCUGAAGAUUCUGAAAUAUGAAAAAUAGGAAAAGACGGUCCCCGCAUUCAGCGUAAGAAAAAUGCAAAUUAAAAAACUCCAGCGAGAUGUCAUUUUCCAUCCAGUACCGGGGCAGAAGUCCGGAAGCUGUCGGUUCUGUCCAGGGGUGAGGCUGUGGGGAAACAGGCGGGGUACACACUGCCGGUGGGGUGGGGACGCCCACGGGCGCAGCGAUGCUCCAUUUGGCCGGAGCUUCCAGAAUUGUCAUGAAUCCCCUUCUGCAGCUUCAGCCUCCAGUGAGACUCGCACACGUGCAAAAUGACGCGUCUACAGGACCUGGCACCGCAGCCGCGUCUAGCGUCUAUACCCACGGAGCACUGGCAGCAGCCCCGCUUCCACCCGAGGGAAUGUCAACUGAGCAGCUUGCAUCACUGUCGUAGCAGCUGUCGGGGGACACGCUCUUCCAGGUGAUAGGGGACACUGCCCAGUGUAUUUCGGCCAAAUAUUUCAUGAGCUUCGGAAUCAUCCCUCCAUCCCCUCGCUCAUCCUGGGCUCCGGCAGCUUUCGGGGGAGAGCGUGCCGACGCCUCGUGGCCACGGACUCUUUGCUUCUGUCUCUAAGUCUCUGUUGUGGCCCCAACAGGAAAGCAAAGAAGAGGCCCGCCCUCUCCACGGGUGCUCUCUCUGGCAAAUGCUGGUUUGGUGAACUAUUCCAGAAAGUCGCUGGGCCUUGCUCGCAAGCUUAGAGUGUCGUCACUUCCAAAAUUCAGCCAUGAGACUCGAACAAGUGAACUGACAGGACCUUGGCUCCACUGCUCUGAUUCUCCACGAGUUCACGCCACGAAAUGACCCUGACAUUACAUUUCCACGCUUGUUUUUUCAGUAAUCCCUACGCUCAUCCAUUCUAAUCCCAGGCCUGCUAAAAUAUCAGAAAUAAAAAUUCCCGGAUGCGAUAACCCAAAUAAAAUACUAAAACAGA
ensembl:lncRNA